GAUAAAAAGACCGACACUCACUCCACCCACCGUUCAGUCGGCUACGUUCAGUUACUCUGCCGGCGUAUGUGUAGAUAUCGCGGCCAACAGGGACGAAGCGGUACGCUCUACUCACAGAGGAAAAAAAAAAAACCCGCAGGACCAAGUGUCUGAGAACAUGAGACGGGACCUCUUUUAGCUAACCCGAAGCAACUGACGCCGUCCGGCUCUUUUCUCCUUUUGUUUUCGGUGUAAAACUUCAGCUCUGUCAGCAUUUACCGGUGUGCCACUCACCUCUAACACGUUACCUCUGACACGGGUUGUCACCGUUUGACUCUAGGGGGCUUUUUGUCUAGGGGAAAGAAAAAGAAAAGCCCCAGCUUUACCGUGGACCUCUGAGCUACCUCUGAAAUCAGAGAAAAGUGGUAGCAGCCAGCAGACAGGAUCCUUUCUAGUCAGUGGGAUGUUAGAGCUCUGGAAGCAGGACCAGGACUGACUGAAGGAGCAUGGUGAAACACCAACCCCUCCAGGUCUAUGAGCGCCAGCUGUGUUUGUCAUGUAUCACUGGGAUCUAUGGUUGCCGCUGGAAACGCUAUCAACGUUCCCAUGAUGACACCACCAAGUGGGAGCUGCUGUGGUCCCUCAUCCUCCUUUUUACCUUCUGUCUGCUGCUGGUCUGGUUCUACUUCUGGUGGGAGGCUCAUAAUGACUACAACGAAUUCAACUGGUUCCUCUACAACCGCUCUGGGGUGUGGAGCGAUGGCACUGUUCCCAUCCUGGCCACCACCGCUGCUGGCUUCACCUAUAUUGCAUUUUUAAUGGUUUUAGCGCUUUGCCACAUUGCGCUUGGGCAACAAUUAAAUUUACACUGGCUCCAUAAGAUAGGAGUGACUGCUGCUCUGCUCACCACCAUCAUUGGGGUGAUAUCUGUCAAUCAAACAUGGGGACAAGAGUGGGAUGUCAUCCCUAUCUCCCUGCAGGCUACAGGUCCGUUCCUUCAUAUCGGGGCUCUUGCUGCGGUCACAGCACUGUCGUGGAUUGUGGCUGGACAGGUCGCCCGUGCAGAAAAAACAAUGUUCCAGGUGGUGGUCGUGCUGCUGUAUCUCAGUGUGUUACUGGGACUCUAUGUGAUGCCCCUCUACAUCACCUCCCCCUGCAUCAUGGAGCCCACUAGCCUCAAACCACGUCCUGAUGUUAUUGGUCACCAAGGAGCCCCCAUGCUUGCUCCAGAGAACACGCUGUGGUCCUUCCAGCGAGCUCUACAGAUGAACGUCACAGGGUUGGAAGCUGAUGUUGCUAUCAGUGUGGAUGGAGUGCCCUUCCUGAUGCACGACAGCACUCUGCGGAGGACCACAGACGUAGAGAAGGUUUUCCCAGACAGACAGAUGGAUGAAGCCUCAUUCUUCAACUGGACAGAUCUGCAACAGCUCAACGCAGGACAGUGGUUCCUUAAGGAUGACCCCUUCUGGACGGUGCAUACCCUGUCCCAGCAUGAGAAGACUCUGAUUGCCAACCAGAGUGUGUGCAGCCUGGAGCAGCUUUUGAAGCUGGCCUCCUAUCAUAACAGCACAGUGGUUUUCAGGCUUAGGAGACCUCCCCCAGACCAUCCCUGCUACUACAGCUGGAUCAAUGAUACACUGCAAGCUGUGCAGCAAUCUGGGGUUCCUCCGAGCCUGGUGAUGUGGACUCCAGACGAGCAAAGGGCCCAGGUGAGACAGCUGGCACCUGGUCUGAUCCAGACCUCAGUGGAGAAACUGAGUCCUCAAAGUCUCCAUCAGUCGGGCAUCAGCAGGCUGCUGCUCAGAUACAACCAGGCCAGCACAAAGGACAUCAGUGAUUUCUCUGAGAGCCACAUCAACCUCACCCUCUACACUGUCAACGAGCCCUGGCUGUACUCGGUGCUCUGGUGCAGCGGGGUGUCAUCAGUCUCCUCAGAGGCCCCGCAUAUCCUCAGAAAGGUGCCUUACCCCAUCUGGCUCAUGAGACCACAUGGAUACUGCCUGAUGUGGGUGUCUGCAGACCUCAUCUCCUUUGCUGUAGUCAUAGGAAUAUUCAUUUUCCAGAACUAUCACAUGAUCAGGUAUCGGAUGAGCGGUAUGCACAGCUACAACCCUGAGCAGAUCAUGCUGAGCGCUGCAGUCAGGAGGUCUAGUCGAGACAUCAGCGUCAUGAAGGAGAAACUUAUCUUUUCUGGUCAGUCCCAGUAGCCGCCUGCCUCCUCCAUCCUUCGUGUGUGAUGCGCACCACCUCCUGUCCAUCCUACCUCCUCUCCAUCUCCUCCACCAGCAGUGACUUCUUCCUUUUCAUUCCAUGCAUCCAUUGCAUCCCUCGUUACCUGCCACCUCUCUGCACUCCUUUGCCCUUCUCCCCUUCAUCCAUUUAUCCAUCGCUUCAUGCACCAAAUCUCCCCCACAUUCCUCCCAAUGGAGACAACGUUGUGUGUAGGGGAGCUUAUAGACGCCCCAGUCUGUCUAGACAGCCACUAGUGCUGGGGGUGAAAGAGGUGGGGAAUGGAGUUGGCAGUGCUGAGGAGCUGUAUGCAGAUAAUGGCUACGACUACUACACCAAUCAGGGCAUCAGCCAGUGACUGGAACUAAGCCUGUGUGAAUCUGCUGCAGUGAGACGGAGACUACAACACUCUGUUCAAAUCAUUCCUGUUUUAGUCGGUGUAAAGUCUGUUCUCCUCCUCUGUCCUACUGAUAAACUGACAGACUGCUGUAUCUGAUGGAGAAAACAACCACCCAGCUGCUGUGUGUACAUUGUGUAAAUAAGGUUUUUGCUUGUCAGACAUAGUGUAUAUCACACGGGGCUACACGCACUUUUUAUUGAUGGAAUUCGCCAAAUCUGUGGCCUCCUCUCUCACAUUUAAAUGUCCAAGAGCCCCCCCCCCCCCAAGUUACCAAGUUACAGAGUUUCCAGAUUCUUUAAGCUAAUUUUCCAAAGCAGUUUAUUAUUUUAAGCAGUGUAAGUGUAAAUUAUACUCUUCUCUUAGCGAAUGAAUUUCUUUUUAACAAGGCUUUUUACAAUCCUUUAUUGCAGCAUGAGCCUUCUGUCAGCACUCCAUUGUGCUGUUGUUCAUAAUAGUACUAACAUUAUAUUUGUAUUUAAAGAGGAAAAAACAAAAAACACAAACAAGCUGUUUACAGAGGUCCUGCCUUCUCCUCCAGGUGAAAUGUUCACAUGGUGUAUGUAAGAUAAUUAUUUUGAUAGAGGCUGAAUGAACCCCCUGCCCUACUUUUGAUCAGUGCAUGUUACAGGAAUGAUCAUAUCAAAUGACUUGUGUGAGCUGUGCUCCCAGUGUGUAACCAGAAGACGAACUGGUGAAAAUGGUUUGGGGUGGAGAUUAGUGCUGUCUUUUUAUGGUUAAUGUGAAUGUGUUAUGGUUUGUUCGUUUCUUUUUUUUUAAGAUGUGUAAGGUGUAUUUGUGUGUAUCCUGACUGGAAGUGUAUUUUUUUUACCCUGUGUGCAGUGCUAUGUUGAAUGUGUUAUUGUAAAUAAGAGAUGAACCAGUGUGAGAGAUGCUCCAGCCAACUAAGAAUUACAUUUGAACAAUGUGACAGUUAAUUAAUUACAAUAGCAAUAGUCUGGCCAUGAUGGAAGUCAUUUCGCUUCCUUCACAGCCUCUGGACUGCAGUUAGGUCUGUGGUAUUGUAUUGCUGACAAACAAAAUGCAUCUCAAUGUAAGUUUCUGGUGUAAAGCUGAAUGUUAUAAGAUAAAUGAAGUGGGUGCUAAAUGUGAAAAUAAAGCUCCAAGCUAAUUGAAGGGACGCUACUAGAGGUAUCACAGGAGGCAGCACAGGGUCAAGAAACUGAUUGCGUUUUGUGUUGACUUUCUUUCUUUGGGUAUUACUGUGCCUCAGAAGUAAAACAUUAAAGACUCUUCUAAUA